AUUUCAAGUUUGAAAAUAUAUGGUUAGUAGUUGAUGAUUUUGGAGAGAAGGUUCGUUCUUGGUGUUCUUCUUAUCAGUUCACGGGUACUCCUAGUUUUAUUCUUGCUGGUAAGCUUAAGGCUCUGAAGCAAGAUUUAAAGAAGUGGAACUUGAAAAUUUUUGGCAAUGUCGACAACUAGAAGACUACCCUUAUGGAGGAGCUACAGGAGUUAGAGGGGCGGGUAUUGACUGGAGACACCUCGGAGGAGGCAUUGUUGAGGAAGAGUUCGUUUGUGAAUGAACUGGAAAGGGUAUUGUUGAUGGAGGAGAUCUCGUGGUAACAAAAAUCCAGGACCCUUUGGUUAAAAGAAGGUGAUAAAUGCAUGAAGUUCUUCCAUAAAGUGGCUAAUUCACAUAGGCGCAACAAUGCUAUUGAGACACUCCAUUCAGGUAAUUAAGUGUUCUCUUCCCCCUCCGAAAUAGAGAAUCAUAUUGUGCAUUAUUAUGAGAACCUUCUCACGGAGCCGACCUGUUGGAGGCUGAAGUUCGAUGAUUUGUUUUUUGAGUCUAUUGAUUCACAGAGUGCGAGCUGGUUGGAAAGACCUAUUGACGAAGAUGAGAUUUAUAAGGUCAUUGGUGGUAUGGCUAAAGACAAAGCGCCGGGUCUGGAUGGCUUUUUGUUGGGAUUCUUUCAAGCUUGUUGGGAGAUUGUGAAAUGUGAUAUUAUGCGGGUUUUUCUUGAAUUCCACGCUUUCAAAAAGUUUGAGAAAUACCGCAAUGCGAUGUUCAUUGCUCUCAUACCGAAGAAACAUGGGGCUACAGAUGUUGAUGAUUUCUUCCCUGUAAGCCCGGUGAGUGGGGUAUACAAGAUUAUUUCGAAAGAUCUUGCUAAUCAGCUAAGCUUGGUAAUGGAACAAAUUAUUUCUAAGCCUCAAAAUGCUUUUGUUCGGGGGAGACAUACUUGAUUCAGUUCUCAUUGCCAAUGAGUGCUUGGAUCAUAGGUUGAAGGAGAGAGUACCAGGCAUUCUAUGCAAGCUUGACAUGGAAAAAGCAUAUGACCAUGUGAAUUGAGAAGUUCUCUUUUAUUUGCUCGGGAGGUGUGGCUUUGGUGAUAGGUGGAUUUCAUGGAUUCGACAUUUUGUUACUACCACUCGCUUCUCAAUGCUAGUUAAUGGUACCCUUGCUGGAUUUUUUAGUAGUUCCCGUGGAUUGCGGUAAGGGGAUCCAUUGUCUCCUUUUCUUUUUCUUUUUGUUAUUGGGGCACUUGGUUGGAUGGUGAAGGCUGCUAUUGAAGGAGGUCUUUUAGCCGGUUUUUCGGUAGGUAAUGGUACUAAUGGCUAUCAUAAUCUCACAUUUCUUAUUUGCAGAUGACACUCCUCUUUUGUGAAACGGAUCUUGGCCAGAUUCAAGCUUUACGUGCACUCUUGUUAUGCUUUGAAGCCGCAUUGGGGCUUAAGGUGAACCUUGGUAAGUUCGAGAUGGUGGUGGUGGGUGUGGUGCCUAGAAUCAACAAUCUGGCAAGUCUCUUGGGUUGUAAAGUGUCUUCUUUGCCUAUGAAAUGUUUGGGUCUUCCGUUGGGGGGCAACCUUUAAAGCUAGAGCUAUUUGGGAUGUGGUUAUAAAGAAAGUUGAGAAAAUGUUGGCUGGUUGGAAACAGUUGUAUUUAUCGAAAGGGGGUCGACUCACACUGAUUAUGAACACUUUAUCUAAUAUUCCGACCUAUUUUUUAUCUCUAUUCCUGUUGCCUACAGAGGUGUCGAAUAGGAUCGAGAAGUUGUUUUCAGGUUUUUUUGUUAGGUGGAGUGGGUGAGGAAACAAAAUUCCAUCUUGCUAAUUGGAAUAAAGUUUGCUCCCCAAUCUCGAUGAGCUGAUUGGGAGUGCGCAACUUGAGGACUUUCAAUAAAGCUCUAUUGGGGAAAGGCUAUGGAGGUACCACUUAGAGGGGGACUUGUUGUGGAAGGAAGUUAUUGACUUUAGACACGGAAGUGUUUGGGGGGCUGAUGUUCCAAUGUAGUGAAGGGGGAGGGGUAUGGCGUGGGCUUGUGGAAAUUUAUUAGGAGGGGUUAGCAUUGUUUCGAAAACCAUAUGCGUUUUGUGGUUGGAGUGGGUACUAGAAUCAGGUUUUGGCUUGAUUGGUGUGGAGAUCGUGCUCUUGAUAGGGCCUUCCCAGCUCUCUAUAGUAUUGCAGUUAAUAGGGAUGUUUUUGUGGCGGAUCUGCUUGCAUUUUCUCAUAUUCUCACCUGUGGAAUGUCCUAUUUAAUAGGGAUAUUCAUGAUUGGAAAUUGCAUACCGUUUCAGAAUUUUUCAGAUUGAUAUACUCCACAGGAAGUAUAACAGCACGGGGAUAGGAUACAGUGGAGGUCCAUUGGCAGUAAGAAGUUUACAGUCAAGGCGUAUUACAAAAUAUUGACAUCACAAGGUAAUGUACCCUUCCCGUGGAGAAGUAUUUGGAGGUCUGGCGUGCCUUCCAAAGUAGCUUUUUUGGUAUGGAUCGCUGCUCUAGGGAAUAUUCUGACCACUGACAGCUUGAGGAAGAUGGGACUCAUUGUGAUGGAUUGGUGCUAUUUGUGCAAAAAAAUGGAGAAUCAAUAGAUCACUUAUUAUUGCAUUGUGAGGUGACGAGUGUUGUGGAAUGAGAUCUUUAGAAGAGUCGAUGUUGCUUGGGUAAUGCCGUUGAGGGUGGUUGAUUUACUUGCUUGUUGGAAGGAAAUUCACGGCUAUCCCCAAGUGGUGGCAGUAUGGAAGAUAAUUCAGUUGUGCAUUAUGUGGUGUACUUGGUCGGAAAGGAAUGCGCGAUGAUUUGAAGAUAGGGAGCACACAAUGACGGAGCUUCAGAAUUUCUUUUGUACACAAUUUAAUGCUUUGGUUUUCAGCCAUUGUGCCCAAUGGAAACAAUGUUUAUGACUUCUUAUCCUUAAUUUAGCGAUUCUAGAAUGUAUUUAAGCGUUCUUUUGUAUACCUCGUGUACAUAGGUAUGUCUAUUUCAUUCAUAUCAAUAAAAUUUACCUCUUACUU